rnacentral:lncRNA from 1 species
AAUGCAUGAAAAUAAAUAGGAUAGAAUACUUACCUUAGUGGGGGAGAGGAUCUCCCCCAAGCUAGAUCUUCGCUCACUGUGGUGGCGGGAAAUUCUGGUACCAUCCGGCCCAGCGUUGUGCGUCUUCCUCUCGCACACGUCGGAUAUGUCGGCCGUUUUGUAACGCCAGUUGCAAUGUUGCUUCUUGCCCAAUCUGCAAUUCGCCCAUGUCAUUAAUGAGACUGUCCAUACCUGUGGGCUGGUGACGCCUAGCCCUGUCCCUUGGGCGUGGAGUGCGUUGUGGAGGUAGACCCAUGGAGUCUGAAGCAUCCACUGACAUCGCUUCAUCGCCCUCUUCAACGUCAUGGUGCGAGGAUCCUCCUUGCUCCAUCUGGGCGGCUUGCAUCAUCCUUCUUGUCACCCUGCGUGUCCCUGCAACAUCUGGACUUGCCACUCGGGCUAGUCUAAUGGUAAGUGUGCGGACCCCAUACAACCGGCGCCUCGCACAUGGGAGAGG